rnacentral:rRNA from 1 species
ACGACUCUCGGCAACGGAUAUCUAGGCUCUCGCAUCGAUGAAGAACGUAGCAAACUGCGAUAGUUGGUGUGAAUUGCAGAAUCCCGUGAACCAUGGAGUCUUUGAACGCAAGUUGCGCCCGAAGCCAUUAGGCCGAGGGCACGUUUGCCUGGGCGUCACG